rnacentral:rRNA from 1 species
GACGAACGCGGCGGCGUGCCUAAUACAUGCAAGUCGAACGAGAGCGACUGGUGCUUGCACUGGUCAAUCUAGUGGCGAACGGGUGAGUAACACGUGGGUAACCUGCCCAUCAGAGGGGGAUAACAUCCGGAAACGGAUGCUAAAACCGCAUAGGUCUUCGAGCCGCAUGGCUUGAAGAGGAAAAGAGGCGCAAGCUUCUGCUGAUGGAUGGACCCGCGGUGCAUUAGUUAGUUGGUGAGGUAACGGCUCACCAAGGCCGUGAUGCAUAGCCGACCUGAGAGGGUGAUCGGCCACAUUGGGACUGAGACACGGCCCAAACUCCUACGGGAGGCAGCAGUAGGGAAUCUUCCGCAAUGGACGCAAGUCUGACGGAGCAACGCCGCGUGAGUGAAGAAGGUUUUCGGAUCGUAAAACUCUGUUGUUAGAGAAGAACAAGUGCUAGAGUAA